CGACGGUAGAGGAGCAAUCCUCGAGAGUGGCGAACGGGUGAGUAAUACAUCGGAACGUGCCCAGUCGUGGGGGAUAACGUAGCGAAAGCUACGCUAAUACCGCAUACGACCCGAGGGUGAAAGCGGGGGACUCGCAAGAGCCUCGCGCGAUUGGAGCGGCCGAUGGCAGAUUAGGUAGUUGGUGGGGUAAAGGCCCACCAAGCCUGCGAUCUGUAGCUGGUCUGAGAGGACGACCAGCCACACUGGGACUGAGACACGGCCCAGACUCCUACGGGAGGCAGCAGUGGGGAAUUUUGGACAAUGGGCGAAGGCCUGAUCCAGCCAUACCGCGUGCGGGAAGAAGGCCUUCGGGUUGUAAACCGCUUUCGUCAGGGAAGAAAUACUUCGGGCUAAUACCCUGGGGUGAUGACGGUACCUGAAGAAUAAGCACCGGCUAACUACGUGCCAGCAGCCGCGGUAAUACGUAGGGUGCAAGCGUUAAUCGGAAUUACUGGGCGUAAGGCGUGCGCAGGCGGUUCUAUAAGACAGAUGUGAAAUCCCCGGGCUCAGCCUGGGAACUGCAUUUGUGACUGUAGAGCUAGAGUACGGUAGAGGGGGGAUGGAAUUCCGCGUGUAGCAGUGAAAUGCGUAGAUAUGCGGAGGAACACCGAUGGCGAAGGCAAUCCCCUGGACCUGUACAGACGCUCAUGCACGAAAGCGUGGGGAGCAAACAGGAUU
rnacentral:rRNA from 1 species